CUGAGUUACCGCUCUACAACCCUUUGUGAACAUACCUAACUGUUGCUUCGGCGGGCAGGAGGACCCCCCGGGGUCCCCCUCCCGGCCGCGCCCCCCCGGGGCGUGGCGCCCGCCGGAGGAUACCAAACCCUAUUUUAACGACGUUUCUUCUGAGUGGCACAAGCAAAUAAUUA
rnacentral:misc_RNA from 1 species